GAUGAGAACGUAGCGAACGUGCGAAACGUAAUGUGAAUUGCAGAAUUCAGUGAAUCAUCGAAUCUUUGAACGCAUCUUGCGCUCCUUGGUAUUCCGAGGAGCAUGCCUGUUUGAGUGUCGUGAAUACUCUCAACUUCAACCCUUUUUUCGGAAAGGGAGGAAGGUUGGACUUGGGUGUUUGUUGAAGUGCGAGCUUCGACUCAUCCUAAAUGCAUUAGCGAUCUGCCUCGAUCACACACAAUGUGAUAAUUAAAACUAAAGCAUUGUUUAAUGAUCAAGUCGAGACUGCUUCUAACUGUCGCAAGACAAUAACGUGCAUACAUUUGUGCAUGUCAUUUGACCUCAAAUCAGGUAGGACUACCCGCUGAACUUAAGCAUAUCAAUAAGCGGAGGA
rnacentral:misc_RNA from 1 species